ACCUGAGUGGCUCAGUUGGUUGAGCGUCUGACUUCAGCUCAGGUCAUGAUCUCACGGUUUGUGGGUUCGAGUCCCACAUCGGGCU
rnacentral:tRNA from 1 species